rnacentral:rRNA from 1 species
AUUGAACGCUGGCGGAAUGCUUUACACAUGCAAGUCGAACGGCAGCACGGGGGCAGCCCUGGUGGCGAGUGGCGAACGGGUGAGUAAUACAUCGGAACGUGCCCGGUCGUGGGGGAUAACGUAGCGAAAGUUACGCUAAUACCGCAUACGAUCUGAGGAUGAAAGCGGGGGACCUUCGGGCCUCGCGCGAUCGGAGCGGCCGAUGUCAGAUUAGGUAGUUGGUGGGGUAAAGGCCUACCAAGCCGACGAUCUGUAGCUGGUCUGAGAGGACGACCAGCCACACUGGGACUGAGACACGGCCCAGACUCCUAAGGGAGGCAGCAGUGGGGAAUUUUGGACAAUGGGCGCAAGCCUGAUCCAGCCAUUCCGCGUGCAGGACGAAGGCCUUCGGGUUGUAAACUGCUUUUGUACGGAACGAAAAGGCUCUGGCUAAUACCUGGGGCUCAUGACGGUACCGGAAGAAUAAGCACCGGCUAACUACGUG